AUUGUCAUUUAUAAACUAUUUCUUGAACGAGUGUAAGCCUCGGUGUGAGGCCCCUAAAGAAAGGCAAACCAUCACGAAGAUCAUCCUGGAACUACAAUCUGGUAAGAUUCAUUAACAGUUUUCAAAAAAUGAGGAAUGAGUGGUUACUAAGUAGAGCUUCUCAUGACUAACAUUUUAUUUUUAAAUGGUUUGUUGAAGACAUAAGACUCUGUGCUUUCAAACCGUCGAUCAUAUCGGCGGCAGCAGUUACAGCAUUUAAAUGCCAUCAAGCUCCUGAGUAUUGUUACGAGGAUAAGAUCAUGCGCCUUAGCUGUAUCG
rnacentral:lncRNA from 1 species